GAUGAACGCUAGCUACAGGCUUAACACAUGCAAGUCGAGGGGUAGCAGGGUAGCAAUACCGCUGACGACCGGCGCACGGGUGAGUAACACGUAUCCAACCUUCCCAUCACUCGGGGAUAGCCUUUCGAAAGAAAGAUUAAUACCCGAUAGUACUUUUUUGAGGCAUCUUGAGAAAGUUAAAGAUUUAUUGGUGAUGGAUGGGGAUGCGUUCCAUUAGAUUGUUGGUGAGGUAACGGCUCACCAAGUCUUCGAUGGAUAGGGGUUCUGAGAGGAAGGUCCCCCACAUUGGUACUGAGACACGGACCAAACUCCUACGGGAGGCAGCAGUGAGGAAUAUUGGUCAAUGGGCGAGAGCCUGAACCAGCCAAGUAGCGUGAAGGAUGAAGGUCCUAUGGAUUGUAAACUUCUUUUAUAGUAGAAUAAAGUGAUCCACGUGUGGAUUUUUGUAUGUAUACUAUGAAUAAGGAUCGGCUAACUCCGUG
rnacentral:rRNA from 1 species